AGAACCCGCAGCGCCGGCCCGACAGGGCAGCUCGGAGGUGGGUGGGCCGCGCCGCCAUCCCGCUUGCAGGGUCCCCAUUGGCCGCCUGCCGGCCGCCCUCCGCCCAAAAGGCGGCAAGGAGCCGAGAGGCUGCUCCGGCGUCGGAGCAGGACAGCCUGGCCGAGCCAACGCCGGGGACUUUGUUCCCUCCGCGGAGGGGACUCGGCAACUCGCAGCGGCAGGGUCUGGGGCCGGCGCCUGGGAGGGAUCUGCGCCCUUCACUCCCUCCCUAGCUGUGUUCCCGCCGCCGCCGCCCGGCUAGUCUCCGGCGCUGGCGCCUAUGAUCGGCCUCCGACAGCGCUCCAGAGGGACCGGGGGAGCUCCCAGGCGCCCGGGACUGGAGACUGAUGCAUGAGGGGGCCACGGAGGCGCAGGAGCGGUGGUGAUGGUCUGGGAAGCGGAGCUGAAGUGCCCUGGGCUUUGGUGAGGCGUGACAGUUUAUCAUGACCGUGUUCAGGCAGGAAAACGUGGAUGAUUACUACGACACCGGCGAGGAACUUGGCAGUGGACAGUUUGCGGUUGUGAAGAAAUGUCGUGAGAAAAGCACCGGCCUCCAGUAUGCUGCCAAAUUCAUCAAGAAAAGGAGGACUAAGUCCAGCCGGCGGGGUGUGAGCCGUGAGGACAUCGAGCGGGAAGUCAGCAUCCUGAAGGAGAUCCAGCACCCCAAUGUCAUCACCCUGCACGAGGUCUAUGAGAACAAGACGGACGUCAUUCUGAUCUUGGAACUCGUUGCAGGUGGCGAGCUGUUUGACUUCUUAGCUGAAAAGGAAUCUUUAACUGAAGAGGAAGCAACUGAAUUUCUCAAACAAAUUCUUAACGGUGUUUACUACCUGCACUCCCUUCAAAUCGCCCACUUUGAUCUUAAGCCUGAGAACAUAAUGCUUUUGGAUAGAAAUGUCCCCAAACCUCGGAUCAAGAUCAUUGACUUUGGGUUGGCCCAUAAAAUUGACUUUGGAAAUGAAUUUAAAAACAUAUUUGGGACUCCAGAGUUUGUCGCUCCUGAGAUAGUCAACUAUGAACCUCUUGGUCUUGAGGCAGAUAUGUGGAGUAUCGGAGUAAUAACCUAUAUCCUCCUAAGUGGGGCCUCCCCGUUUCUUGGAGACACUAAGCAAGAAACGUUAGCAAAUGUAUCCGCUGUCAACUAUGAAUUUGAGGAUGAAUACUUCAGUAAUACCAGUGCCCUAGCCAAAGAUUUCAUAAGAAGACUUCUGGUCAAGGAUCCAAAGAAGAGAAUGACAAUUCAAGAUAGUUUGCAGCAUCCCUGGAUCAAGCCUAAAGAUACACAACAGGCACUUAGUAGAAAAGCAUCAGCAGUAAACAUGGAGAAAUUCAAGAAGUUUGCAGCCCGGAAAAAAUGGAAACAAUCCGUUCGCUUGAUAUCACUGUGCCAAAGAUUAUCCAGGUCGUUCCUGUCCAGAAGUAACAUGAGUGUUGCCAGAAGCGAUGAUACUCUGGAUGAGGAAGACUCCUUUGUGAUGAAAGCCAUCAUCCAUGCCAUCAACGAUGACAACGUCCCAGGCCUGCAGCACCUUCUGGGCUCAUUGUCCAACUAUGAUGUUAACCAACCCAACAAGCACGGGACACCUCCAUUACUCAUUGCUGCUGGCUGUGGGAAUAUUCAAAUACUACAGUUGCUCAUUAAAAGAGGCUCAAGAAUCGAUGUCCAGGAUAAGGGCGGGUCCAAUGCCAUCUACUGGGCUGCUCGGCAUGGCCACGUCGAUACCUUGAAAUUUCUCAAUGAGAACAAAUGCCCUUUGGAUGUGAAAGACAAGUCUGGAGAGACGGCCCUCCAUGUGGCAGCUCGCUAUGGCCAUGCUGAUGUGGCUCAGCUACUGUGCAGCUUCGGCUCCAAUCCCGACAUCCAGGACAAGGAAGAAGAAACCCCCCUGCACUGUGCUGCCUGGCACAGGUAUUACUCUGUGGCCAAAGCCCUUUGUGAAGCCGGCUGUAACGUGAACAUCAAGAACCGAGAAGGAGAGACGCCCCUCCUGACAGCCUCUGCCAGGGGCUACCACGACAUCGUGGAGUGUCUGGCCGAACAUGGAGCCGACCUUAAUGCUUGCGACAAGGUGCCUUAUGGGGGAAGACUCAUAUGCACUGGGAAGUGAUCUAGGGGGACCACAAGACUCCUCAGUUUGUUUCCCUAAGAUAACAAACUUGAAUGCAGCAAACUGUAAUUACCCCGUCUCUUCUCUGUUCCAAAGAUUCUGUGAACUUUUCUAUAUUGUAUUUAAUAAUUAAUAUUAAUUUAUGGCAUAUAACAAAAUUCAUGAAUUGAUCAAUUGACUUUGGUCUUUAAAUAAUUUUUAGCUUUUUUAGCUUUAGAGCAGGUACAGUGAUGUUCACUGAAUCCGAGACAAUUCUCAUUGAGGACUAACAUUGGCAACACACUAUUAAUUUUUAGAUAAACAAAGAAAUAGAUGUUUUACUUAUUUCUGUCAUCUGCUGUGUUGU
rnacentral:sRNA from 1 species